GACGAAGGCUGUUGACAAGCUAGUCUUUUCUAAUUUUUUUUUAUCAUAAAGCUUACCCGGUGAAAAUUUAGUCGGGUUUAAUGUAUUUUAUUAUUUUUUCGACAAAAUAAAACUUUGCUCGAUAAAAAAAUUUGGUCGGGCAUGUAAGGUUUGUAAAGCAAAGUUGGUCAACACAAUUUUCCUCGCACUACUAUAAAAGUGGCUUAUUGAGUCAGCAGUUGGUAUUAGUUUUAUAUAAUAUAGUGGCAGAUUAGACAUUUCCGACGGCCACUUUAAAUGGUGUGGGAAUUACUGUCGGUUAUAACCAACAUAAACUGUCUAUGUUGCUUAUAACCGACAUAGACUGUUAAUAUCGCUUAUAACCAAUAUAGUUUUUAAUCUUUUUAAAUGGUGGUGUUGUAUAAAAAGAUAAUCUUGUCGCUUUCAAUCGACAUAAAAUUAAUGUCGGUUAAAAAGAGAAUCGUGUUGCUUAAACCCGACAUUAAUAAUUAUUUUAAAAUAUUUUAAAACUUCCUUUCGGUUGUAGCCGACAGGUUCGUAUUUUUAUAUAUCCUCUCUCUCAAUAAUAUCAAAACCCUUUCUCUCAUUUCGCUCAGCCCUCUCUCCCUUUAAUAUCAUAACCCUAGCUGCAUCUCAUUUCCCUAUAAUGAAAAGCCCUAGCCGCACCUCAUUACUCACUCUUCUCUGCAAAAACCCAAAACCAACGAGUUUGCCAUGGAAAUGUAGGCACAUCUAAGCUCCAAUAAGAAGCAAACUAAUACUUGCUAGUUUGAUUUGUGUAUGAGUUUCUGGAUCUGCUAAAGAAAUAAUGGGAAAAGGCAUAAUAACAUUCCAACAGCUCAGAUCCGAAACAAAAAGGGUAAAAAAAUCCGCUGCUGACACAUGUACAGCGGCUGCAGAUACAACCUAAGAAAGAUGCAGAGGUCCAACAAUCAUAGUACUCGUCCCCAAAAGUCCGAUCUCAGCUAAUCUACAAGAAAGUUGUGAGCAAAACAAUGGCUGAUCUGGUGUCCACAAGGGAAAUGCAAGGAGUGGCUUGGUUAAAUCACAAUUCCAAGCAAACAAAAGGACACUCGAACCUAGGGUAUAUUCGACAAAGGAAAUGUUGAAGUUGCAGAUCCAAAGGCAAACAAAUUAUCAACUGACACAUCUUCGGAUCUGAAAGCUCAUGGUGUUGUUUACAUGUUGUAAGAUCCCAUAGCGCCCGGGGGAGGGGAGGUGAUGUGCCUUCUAUGUACAUGCCCACCUCCCUAUAGUGAGACGCUUUUUGGGUGGAAGACCAAGAACAAAACUGUGAGGACGUGGCACAAAAUGGACAAUAUCUUACUAUGCAGACUGGGAUGUGACAAUUUAGUAUCAAAGCCACUCCCCGGCCGGAAGUGUGCCAAUGAGGACGUCCGACCUCUAAGGGAGGUGGAUUGUAAGAUCCCACAUCGCCCGAGGAAGAGGAGGUGAUGUGCCUUAUAUGUACAUGCCCACCUCCCUAUAGUAAGACGUGUUUUGGGUGGAAACCCAAGAACAAAUCUAUGAGGGCAUCGCCCAAAGCGAACAAUAUCUUACUAUGCGGAUUGAGAUGUGACAAUUUGGUAUCAAAGCCACUCCUCGGCAGGAAGUGUGCCAACGAGGGCGUCAGGCCCCUAAGGGGGGUGGAUUGUAAGAUCCCACAUCGUCUUUGGGAGGGGAGGUGAUGUGCCUUAUAUGUACAUGCCCACCUCCCUAUAGUGAGACGCGUUUUGGGUGGAAGCCCAAGAACAAAAUCGUGAAGACGUGGCCCAAAGCAGACAAUAUCUUACUAUGCAGAUUGUAAGAUCGCACAUCGCCCGGGGGAGAAGAGGUGAUGUCCCUUAUAUGUACAUGCCCACCUCCCUAUAGUGAGACGCGUUUUGGGUGGAAGCCCAAAAACAAAUCUAUGAGGGUGUGGCCUAAAGCGGAAAAUAUAUUACUACGCGGACUGGGAUGUGACACUUGUGGUAGGAAACUUUUUUUUUUUUUUAUUAU